CGGAGCAAGGGUCGAAAGAAAAACACGAACGAGGCGAGGCGACUCACAUUCGGGGUUUGGCCUGCCGCGCAAGAGCUGCAAAAUUUUAGUUAAUUUUUCUCCUAGCAGCUCAAACCCGAGGUUGGAAGGGACGGAGGCGCACGAUUUCGUUUGCAGCGAAAUAUCGAAAAGUUUUCCGCAAAGUACGCGGAUCCGCGGGUGCGUGCGUGUGUCCCGUUUUAAUCGUGUUGUAGCUUUGCUCUUCCAUAUAGCCUGUGUACGUGAAGCUGUGUGUGCGUUCGUCAAUUUUGCGGUGAAAUCAUACGCGCUCUGGUGGUGUAAAGUUGUUAAUUGAAGGGAAACAAAACCGCGAACGGGCCCGGAUUAAGCUACCCCCCCCCCCCAAUCUUCCGCCCAGUCAGUGUCCGUGUCCUUGUGUAUGUGCGCGCCGUCGUCUGCCCGUAAUCAAUCAAGGGUCCAUAUUUUCCGGAGCCUCUCAUAUUACACCGACGACGCACCUUGCCCUUCCCUGUAGCAGGAGACAACACAGUGUGAAACGAAGUGAAAAGUUGGUGAAACUUUUUUGGGGGAGUGAGCAAUUUUGAACCAAAGUCCAAGAAAGAGAACAUUCCCAUCGAUAACGAGCUCUAUACCCGCAAGUGGACCAGUGGAGCAGAAGUAAACCGGAAGGAAGACCGUAGCAGAAAAAAACAUCCCCGACGAGCACUUCCGACAGUUGUUUGCGCCAGGCCCUCAAAAGACACCUUAUCACAAUGGAUAAAAGGAAACUAUCUACAUCCGGGGACACCCUCUACCAGACACUGGGCCUACAGAAGACGGCAACGGCGGACGAGAUUAAGAAGACGUACCGAAAACUGGCCCUCAAGUAUCACCCGGACAAGAACCCCAACAAUCCCGAUGCGGCAGAUAAGUUCAAAGAAGUAAAUCGUGCUCAUUCCAUUCUGAGUGAUUUGACGAAGCGAAACAUCUACGACAACUAUGGUUCGCUCGGACUGUACAUCGCGGAACAGUUUGGCGAAGAGAACGUCAAUGCUUACUUCGUCGUCACGUCGCCCACGUGCAAGGCACUGUUUAUGAUUUGUGGUAUCAUCACCGGAUGUUAUUGUUGCUGUUGCUGUUGCUGCUGCUGUAACUUCUGCUUUGGCAAAUACAAACCGGUACCGCCGGAGAAUGCGGGAGACUAUCAUCAUCUACACAGAGAUGGAGCCGCAAGUAGUAGCAACGCGCGGGAAGGAACGGCCGUCACAGAACAGCCAACGCGAAGAGAGGAUUUGCAAGAUCUGGACGAUAAUGGAGGAGGCAGUGGUGGCCCGGUGACGUCACAGCCACAGGCGGGACAGGCACAGGGAGCUGGUAUGCCCGUGUACGCCAUGCCACCGCCGUCGUCCAAUCCGACGAAUCCGUUCACUGGAGCCGCCACCGAGAGCACGGGGCUGAACACGGGCAAUCAACCGAUCUACACGCCAGGAGAUUUGCUCCAAUUUUGAAGUUGUCCCAGUAUCCGUUUAUAGAUCAAAUCACCUGCGCAAACAUCAACAACGCACCAAGUGCAACGGCUACAAUUCUUCCACAUUGAUGUUGCCUUUGUUUUUGUUUGUGUUGUUGCUGUAUCUUUAGCUUUGAAGAAACUGUAGAAAACGUUCCAUUCUACUGGGAUGGAAAAAUGAAGCGAAAAAUCCGAUCCGAUUCCCCUUUUCGUGGUGAUGUAUGAAGUGAGCGUAUUAAUCGUCGCCAUCAAUAACACAAUACGGUUCGAAGGGAGGGAACCCGGUUACAUGGACGCAAGGGAUAUGGGCGCGAUAAGGCACAAGUUGAGUCAUGCCCAACGGCGCCGCGCCCCUCCAUCUAUCGCGCAUCCCUCUUAUUUGUGCAGCGAAUAGCACCCGAACCCGAAAUCAAACACUCACUAUAACAAUAUGCUGUCACAAUAAUAAGCAACUGUAAUAAUAAUCGUCGCUAGAACCAGGACCGCGAGCAUCUCCUCCCUGCCUGCCUGCAAACAAAACACGGUGGUUGGUGGAAGGCACCCGUACAUACGCAAAGGGCAGCAGAGGAGCGAAGAAACAAAAGUAUCUUUUUAGGGUAUAUUUAUACGUUUAAGUAAUGGCAAAUAACAACAGUUAGUAGAAGCCCCCUUUUCUGUGUGCAUAUAUGUAUGUGUGCGUGUGUACGUGUAUUUAUCCUAGUGAGGCUACUUCCCACUGGAUGCCUCAGAGGAAGAGGAGACAAAAGAGUGGCGAAAAGCAGCAGUAGAAGAGGAAGAACAAAAUCAAAACAAUUUAAGAAGCUAACAAUAAUACUUUUAUCUUGCUGUGUGUUGCCGCUAGUAUCCGUAUGCUCUACAUACUACUAAAUCCCAUCCAUUUCGGUGACACGCGCUCAAGUAAAAUAGUAAACAUUAACAGAGAGCCACAAUCACACACAGCAUUAACGUUAUCGCAACUCAUUUGGAAGACUCCAUAAAUUAGCGACUGUAUUUUCUGGUUCAAAACGGCGAUUUCGAUUAUUCGCGAUAACAUAUUAAAAUUGAACGAUUUAGUGGUGUGUAGAUAUAUAUACAUGUAUGUAUGCGCCAGCUAUACCAUUUAGAGCUGAUCUUAUGGGAACGUGUUUCCUCCUCAUUUAUUAAGUGUUACUAAUUCGAUUUUUGCAAAUACUACUUCAAUUUCGAGUGUGAAACCCGUUAUGCAUAUUACGAUACUAAGAAAUACGGAGCAGAACGUGCACACACACACACACAGGGGGACGGUGCACCACGGGAGACAGUGACGGAACAGUUCAUUAUUAUAAUCCGGUGUCACAUCCCGUAGGACCGGAGCUUUCGGACGGACAAAACUCCUUAAAAGUGUAGCAAUUAAUUGCGCAAGUUAUGUUGUGUGAGUGUGUGUAUUUAAGGGUACAACGUGCAUGCCCUCCUCUCCUGCAUAUGCCACACCACUGUGCAGAUAGUUAUUGUACUGUACGAGCGACCGUAGGACGAGAUGAUGUAUGAUGAUGAUGAAGACAAAGAGUAGAAGAUGCAAAAGAAUAUAUCUAUAUACAUACAAAAUUCAUAAAUCUUAUAUAUCCAUUUAUCCCCCAAAAUUCCAAAGCAUUUGAAGCACACACACACACACACACACGAACCUUUAAUUAGAGGAGACGUUGUUAGAGAACGGUUAAAUUGUUGCUGAGUGUGUACGGUAAGGAGUUGUAGGGCAUGUGAAAAGGAACGAGUAUCAAGAGAACAAGUAUAGGACCGUUGGGAUAGGGAGAGAAAGUACUGGAAGCAGCGAUUGCUCGAAUAAGACGCGGAAUAAUCUAACAACAACAACUCACAACGACAACACGAACGCUCUGGACGCGGGACACAGGACACGUGCACGUUAAUUACGACAAUUGCAGCAAAACAUUAUAUAUUGUAAAAUAUAUUGAACGGUGGUGCGGACGAGAGAGAAGGCCGUUCGAAGCGAAUGGGAAAUGAAAACACUACAAUAACCGUUACGGAAGCAAAAACAAAAUAAACUAAAACCUGAACGACGAAACAUUCAUUGCCACGUUAUGCAAAAUCCACAAUAA